CCAAUAGCGUAUAUUAAAGUUGUUGCAGUUAAAAAGCUCGUAGUUGAAUUUUAGGCCUGACCGGACGGUCCGUCUCUGGCGAGUACUGUUCUGUUGUCGGGUCUAUCCUUCUGGUGAGCCGGUAUGUCCUUUAUUGGGUGUGUCGGGGAACCAGGACCAUUACCUUGAAAAAAUUAGAGUGUUUAAAGCGGGCUUUUGCUUGAAUAGAUUAGCAUGGAAUAAUAGAAUAGGACGUUGGUUCUAUUUUGUUGGUCUAGGACCACCGUAAUGAUUAAUAGGGAUAGUUGGGGGCAUUAGUAUUCAAUUGUCAGAGGUGAAAUUCUUGGAUUUAUUGAAGACUAACUACUGCGAAAGCAUUUGCCAAGGAUGUUUUCAUUAAUCAAGAACGAAAGUUAGGGGAUCGAAGACGAUCAGAUACCGUCGUAGUCUUAACCAUAAACUAUGCCGACUAGGAAUCGGGCGACGUUAUUUUCAUGACUCGCUCGGCGCCUUAUG
rnacentral:ncRNA from 2 species